CCCAGACUCCUACGGGAGGCAGCAGUGGGGGAUAUUGCACAAUGGGGGGAACCCUGAUGCAGCGACGCCGCGUGGGUGAAGGAGCGUUUCGGCGCGUAAAGCCCUAUCGGCAGGGAAGAAGGAGGACGGUACCUGACUAAGAAGCCCCGGCUAACUACGUGCCAGCAGCCGCGGUAAUACGUAGGGGGCAAGCGUUAUCCGGAUUUACUGGGUGUAAAGGGGGCGCAGACGGCAGCGCAAGCCAGGAGUGAAAGCCCGGGGCCCAACCCCGGGACUGCUCUUGGAACUGCGCGGCUGGAGUGCAGGAGGGGCAGGCGGAAUUCCUGGUGUAGCGGUGAAAUGCGUAGAUAUCAGGAGGAACACCGGUGGCGAAGGCGGCCUGCUGGACUGCGACUGACGUUGAGGCCCGAAAGCGUGGGGAGCAAACAGGAUUAGAUACCCUCGUAU
rnacentral:rRNA from 1 species